UUGCUCUUCAACGAGGAAUCCCUAGUAAGCGCAAGUCAUCAGCUUGCGUUGACUACGUCCCUGCCCUUUGUACACACCGCCCGUCGCUACUACCGAUUGAAUGGCUUAGUGAGGACUUGGGAGAGUACAUCGGGGAGCCAGCAAUGGCACCCUGACGGCUCAAACUCUUACAAACUUGGUCAUUUAGAGGAAGUAAAAGUCGUAACAAGGUAUCUGUAGGUGAACCUGCAGAUGGAUCAUUUCGAUGAAAACCUUUUUUUCUUGAGGUGUGGCUCGCACCUGUCUAACUAAACUUGAGCUACCUUUUUUCAACACGGUUGCAUCGGUUGGCCUGUCAAACAGUGCGGCGGCGUGAAUUUUCACGUCUGCUUUGGCUGGGCGACGGACCGACACUUAAUCAACACUUUUGAUGAUCUAGGAUUUGAAUGAUAAAAGUUCAUUUUUACAAUGAAAUCGACUGGUAAUGCGGUCGUCUAAUUUUUAAAAACAACUUUUGGCAACGGAUCUCUUGGUUCUCCCAUCGAUGAAGAACGCAGCGAAAUGCGAUACGUAGUGUGAAUUGCAGAAUUCAGUGAAUCAUCGAAUCUUUGAACGCACAUUGCGCCCUUUGGUAUUCCAAAGGGCAUGCCUGUUCGAGCGUCAUUUGUACCUUCAAGCUUUGCUUGGUGUUGGGCGUUUUUUGUCUCCCUCUUUCUGGGAGACUCGCCUUAAAACGAUUGGCAGCCGGCCUACUGGUUUCGGAGCGCAGCACAUAUUUUGCGCUUUGUAUCAGGAGAAAAGGACGGUAAUCCAUCAAGACUCUACAUUUUUAACUUUUGACCUCGGAUCAGGUAGGGAUACCCGCUGAACUUAAGCAUAUCAAUAAGCGGAGGA
rnacentral:rRNA from 1 species